UACGUAGGUGGCAAACGUUGUCCGGAUUUACUGGGCGUAAAGGGCGUGCAGGCGGUUUGUUAAGUGCAGGGUGAAAGCUCCCGGCUCAACUGGGAGAGGUCCUUGCAUACUGGCGAACUCGAGGGAGGCAGAGGAAAGUGGAAUUCCCGGUGUAGUGGUGAUAUGCGUAGAUAUCGGGAGGAACACCUGCGGCGAAGGCGGCUUUCUGGGCCUUACCUGACGCUGAGACGCGAAAGCGUGGGGAGCGAACCGG
rnacentral:rRNA from 1 species